rnacentral:rRNA from 1 species
GACGAACGCUGGCGGCGUGCUUAACACAUGCAAGUCGAACGGAAAGGCCCUGCUUUUGUGGGGUGCUCGAGUGGCGAACGGGUGAGUAACACGUGAGUAACCUGCCCUUGACUUUGGGAUAACUUCAGGAAACUGGGGCUAAUACCGGAUAGGAGCUCCUGCUGCAUGGUGGGGGUUGGAAAGUUUCGGCGGUUGGGGAUGGACUCGCGGCUUAGCAGCUUGUUGGUGGGGUAGUGGCUUACCAAGGCUUUGACGGGUAGCCGGCGUGAGAGGGAGACCGGCCUCAUCGGGACUGAGAUACGGACAAGACUCCUACGGGAGGGAGAAGUGGGGAAUAGUGCACAAUGGGAGGAAGCCUGAGGCAGAAACGCCGCGUGCGGGAUGAAGGCCUUCGGGUUGUAAACCGAUUUCGCCUGUGACGAAGCGUGAGUGACGGUAAUGGGUAAAGAAGCACCGGCUAACUACGUG